CCCUACGGGUGGCAGCAGUGAGGAAUAUUGGUCAAUGGGCGGGAGCCUGAACCAGCCAAGUCGCGUGAGGGAAGACGGUCCUACGGAUUGUAAACCUCUUUUGCCGGGGAGCAACGGGGUCCUUGCGAGGGCCCGAUGAGAGUACCCGGAGAAAAAGCAUCGGCUAACUCCGUGCCAGCAGCCGCGGUAAUACGGAGGAUGCGAGCGUUAUCCGGAUUUAUUGGGUUUAAAGGGUGCGUAGGCGGGCUGUUAAGUCAGCGGUAAAAUGUCGGGGCUCAACCCCGGUCUGCCGUUGAAACUGGCAGCCUCGAGUGGGCGAGAAGUAUGCGGAAUGCGUGGUGUAGCGGUGAAAUGCGUAGAUAUCAGGAGGAACACCGGCGGCGAAGGCGGCCUGCUGGACCGCGACUGACGUUGAGGCUCGAAAGCGUGGGGAGCGAACAGGAUUAGAUACCCGAGUAGUC
rnacentral:rRNA from 1 species